rnacentral:rRNA from 1 species
GAUGAACGCUGGCGGCGUGCCUAAUACAUGCCAGUCGAGCGAACAGACGAGGAGCUUGCUCCUCUGACGUUAGCGGCGGACGGGUGAGUAACACGUGGAUAACCUACCUAUAAGACUGGGAUAACUUCGGGAAACCGGAGCUAAUACCGGAUAAUAUAUUGAACCGCAUGGUUCAAUAGUGAAAGACGGUUUUGCUGUCACUUAUAGAUGGAUCCGCGCCGCAUUAGCUAGUUGGUAAGGUAACGGCUUACCAAGGCGACGAUGCGUAGCCGACCUGAGAGGGUGAUCGGCCACACUGGAACGUAGACACGGUCCAGACUCCUACGGGAGGCAGCAGUAGGGAAUCUUCCGCAAUGGGCGAAAGCCUGACGGAGCAACGCCGCGUGAGUGAUGAAGGUCUUCGGAUCGUAAAACUCUGUUAUUAGGGAAGAACAAAUGUGUAAGUAACUAUGCACGUCUUGACGGUACCUAAUCAGAAAGCCACGGCUAACUACGUG